UUAACACCUCUAGCAAUACUGAGUUAGAUGGUAAAUCAUCUGAGGUAAAGGAGAAAUUGCCCAUUAAAAGAUCUAAAGGAAGCUUGGGUAGUUUGAAUAUGAUUACAGGCAAGAACACCGAGCUUGGUAAAACGUCUGGAGCAUCUGCAAACGGAGUCUACUCUAAAAGUGCCGAGAGUGGAAGUGAAGGGUCAAGUGAAGGAAGUGACGCUCAUUCUCAAAAUGAGUCACCAAUGAAUUCAGGAGGCAGGCAGGAUUCAGCUGACACAUCUCAAAAUGGCAAUGCUGCACAUGGUUCCCAGAAUGGAGGGACUGGUACUCCUCAUUCGAUGAUUAACCAAACUAUGGCUAUCGUGUCAGCUGCUGGUGCUGGAGGUAUUCCUGGUCCAACUACCAACUUGAAUAUUGGUAUGGAUUACUGGGGUGCUGCCACUUCAUCGUCUAUUCCUGCAAUGCAUGGAAAGGUACCUGUUUCAGUUGCUGGAGGGUUGGUUACUGCUGGAUCACGAGAUAGCGUCCAAUCACAGAUGUGGAUUCAGG
rnacentral:misc_RNA from 1 species